rnacentral:lncRNA from 1 species
GUUCUGGAAGGAAGAUUACUACAUACUUUCCUGUAUGACAUUAAUUGAGAAAUCCUGGGCCAAUGUCUGUCUGAGGAAACGUAGAUCUGCCUGUUCACAGGAUAGAGACUUUGAAGACUGUGUAGAGGAGCUUUCAAUUGACCAACUUGAGUUACAACCAGCCCUUGGAAAUCAAUUGACAGUCUAGCAGCUUUGUAUCUCCCCAUUAAUGGUGAAAUCUUGGAAACAGCCCAGUUGCCCAUCAACAGAUGAAUGAAGAAAAUAUGGUUUUUAUAUACAAUGGAGUACUACACUUAUAAAGAACGAUACACUUGAGACAUUUUAAAGUAAAUGGAUGCACCUCGAGAACAUAAGUGAAAUAAGUUGGAC